rnacentral:rRNA from 1 species
AAACCAACAGGGAUUGCCUUAGUAGCGGCGAGUGAAGCGGCAAAAGCUCAAAUUUGAAAUCUGGCGCCUUCGGUGUCCGAGUUGUAAUUUGAAGAUUGUAACCUUGGGGUUGGCUCUUGUCUAUGUUUCUUGGAACAGGACGUCACAGAGGGUGAGAAUCCCGUGCGAUGAGAUGCCCAAUUCUAUGUAAGGUGCUUUCGAAGAGUCGAGUUGUUUGGGAAUGCAGCUCUAAGUGGGUGGUAAAUUCCAUCUAAAGCUAAAUAUUGGCGAGAGACCGAUAGCGAACAAGUACAGUGAUGGAAAGAUGAAAAGAACUUUGAAAAGAGAGUGAAAAAGUACGUGAAAUUGUUGAAAGGGAAGGGUUUGAGAUCAGACUCGAUAUUUUGUGAGCCUUGCCUUCGUGGCGGGGUGACCCGCAGCUUAUCGGGCCAGCAUCGGUUUGGGCGGUAGGAUAAUGGCGUAGGAAUGUGACUUUACUUCGGUGAAGUGUUAUAGCCUGCGUUGAUGUACCCCGUCCCUAGGACGAGGACUGCGAUUUUAUCAAGGAUGCUGGCAUAAUGAUCCCAAACCGCCCGUC